rnacentral:rRNA from 1 species
CACGUAGGCGGACUCUUAAGUCGGGGUGAAAUCCUGGAGCUCAACUCCAGAACUGCCUUCGAUACUGGGAGCCUUCGAGUUCGGGAGAGGUGAGUGGAACUGCGAGUGUAGAGGUGAAAUUCGUAGAUAUUCGCAAGAACACCAGUGGCGAAGGCGGCUCACUGGCCCGAUACUGACGCUGAGGUGCGAAGGCGUGGGGAGCAAACA